UGUUUCCCCCAGUGAUGGAAAUCCUGUCCAGAAAUCCAUCCAAAGGCAUCUUCUCUUCACCACAGACCUGUAACCUGGAGGCCACAUUGGUCACUGGCAGAUGUGGGGAUGAAGGCUGUUUUAGGAGUUUCAGAAAUGUGAAUGAAAAGAGUUAUCUUCCCUAGCUGUGCGAGAGCAGUUCCUGUCAAGUUCAGACUCAGCUGAAACCAUUGAGAGACUUGUGUGAUG
rnacentral:lncRNA from 1 species